rnacentral:rRNA from 1 species
AACGCUAGCUACAGGCUUAACACAUGCAAGUCGAGGGGCAGCAUGAAGUUUGCUUGCAAACUUUGAUGGCGACCGGCGCACGGGUGAGUAACACGUAUCCAACCUGCCGAUAACUCGGGGAUAGCCUUUCGAAAGAAAGAUUAAUACCCGAAGGCAUGGGAAGACCGCAUGGUCUUUCCAUUAAAGAAUUUCGGUUAUCGAUGGGGAUGCGUUCCAUUAGAUAGUAGGCGGGGUAACGGCCCACCUAGUCAACGAUGGAUAGGGGUUCUGAGAGGAAGGUCCCCCACAUUGGAACUGAGACACGGUCCAAACUCCUACGGGAGGCAGCAGUGAGGAAUAUUGGUCAAUGGACGAGAGUCUGAACCAGCCAAGUAGCGCGAAGGAUGAAGGUCCUACGGAUUGUAAACUUCUUUUAUAAGGGAAUAAAGUCACCUACGUGUAGGUGUUUGUAUGUACCUUAUGAAUAAGCAUCGGCUAACUCCGUGCCAGCAGCCGCGGUAAUACGGAGGAUGCGAGCGUUAUCCGGAUUUAUUGGGUUUAAAGGGAGCGUAGACGGGUCGUUAAGUCAGCUGUGAAAGUUUGAGGCUCAACCUUAAAAUUGCAGUUGAUACUGGCGUCCUUGAGUACGGUUGAGGCAGGCGGAAUUCGUGGUGUAGCGGUGAAAUGCUUAGAUAUCACGAAGAACUCCGAUUG